rnacentral:rRNA from 1 species
ACAUGCCUACAACAUAGUGUUAAUGCACCAGAUCCCAUUAGAACUCUGCAGUUAAGCGUGCUCAGGCUAGAGUAGUACUGGGAUGGGUGAUCGCCUGGGAAGUCCUAGUGUUUUACAUGCC